ensembl:lncRNA
ACUUAGGUUUAGCUUUUUGAAACGUGGUAGAGAUUUCUGCUAAUGGGUUUUCCCUGUGGGCAGCAUUACCAACCUGAUUAUACAGGUUUUAAGGAACUCUCUUAGGAAGAUUCUUUUUCAUCAUAAGUUUUGACAUUGACCUACUAAACUGGGUAAUUUAGCAUUUUAUUUUCUGAGAAUGAAAAUGAAAAUUGAAUAUUUCAUGACAAGAGAGGGAUUACGGGUGUGCUGUUCUGUGUAAGAAGCCUAUCGUGUCCAGGGGCCAGAUUGUGCUGCUGAGAUGUGUGCACCUACAGGAAGACCUCAGUCCUUGCCUUUACAACUGCAGCAGAAGCACUCCAGUUGUGAUAUACCCCAAGUUGCUGCUGUGGAAGCAGCUGUAACGCACAUGCUGAGUAUGGCUUGGGAAUGGAGCUGAGGUGUGAAGAAGACGCAUCCUCCCUAUGGAAGAGCUUCCAUGGAGAGGUGGCAUUGCAGCCAUGCUAGCUGCUGUAGGCCCUUGUAGCUUCUGUGAGUAUGGAGCAAUUUGGGGCCUUUGCGUGGAGAGCUUUGGCUCAGAGCAUGGAAGUUUCUUUGAGUUUAGGAGCAGCUUCUGAACAGAAAUGGAGAGCAAACCUUUUCCUUCUCCCCCUGUGACACGUUGCUGGGUAAUCUCCAUGUGGAAAUCUUAGUGGAGGUUGCAUCAUAAAGAGCCCACUCCUAAAGGCGUGUGCUGCAGUCGCCAGAGGAGUGAUGGGGGCUUUCAAGGGUGUGUGAUGGGGGUGCCACCACAGCCACGCAGCUGCCAGAGGGCAGUGGAAACGUGGAGGAGGAAAAUUAAGCUGUGAACUGGAAUUCCAUCAGGCUGUCUGCCGUGAAGCCCUGCGGCUUUAGCAAACAGGCAGCAGUGGUCAGAAAUGACACUCAAAAGAACUGUCUGCAUUAAUAACAAGUACCUCCACUUGGAAAUUAUUUACAUGAAACAUUGUUCUCACAUCACUGCUACUGACAGCGGCUCCGGACUGGGUGAGAGAAGGACACCGUGAUGAAUUUACCCAUACCUACCUUACUGUGCUGCGUGAGACGAGGAGAGCUCAAAGACUUCAGAGAAGUUUGAAACCUUAAUCCCUGAAUAAUGCCUCCACCUGCCUCCUGGUUUUCUUUGGGGACUUUCCAGCGCUGGCCAGUCCUGACCCUAUCUGACUUCAGGGACAAUCCCAGUGUCUUGGGCUCCGAAAAAAGAGUGAAACAGUGACUGGAAAUGGUGCACUCAGCAAGGCUGAUCAUGGGUGCAGCGAAAGCGGUACCUGACCAUGUUAACACCUCCAUCAGGUGCAGAGCUCAAGGGAGAAGAAUCUCCAGGAACAGAUUUUGACCUCAAGACUAAGGCACGUUACGUGUGUGAAGGCCCAGCACCGCUGCUACGAUCCACAGCACUGCUCCCACAUACUGCGUGAGUGAGGCCCUGCUGAUGUAAUAGUGGCCCGCAUAUGUCUCAUAUUAAUGGUAUUUUCCUAAUAGUAAUAGCAUUAAAGCCUGCCUACCUGGCUAUUGAGUUACCUUAUUUAGGGUAAUUUGCCCAAAAGCCUAUCCUGGAGCAUGUGAACAACUGUAUCAUUUUAUAACACUUAGCUUUAAGAUAUCAGAAAUCAAAGCAGGCAGACAGUCUGAUUCCAGAACUAGUAGUUUUCCAUUUAAAAAAACAAAAACUGUUGUGUUUCUUGAAUAAUUUAUUAUCUGGAUUUCUGUUGCAUUUUCCACAUGGAAUUGAUGAAGAAAAAUUUUUUCUAAAGAAAGUUCGGAUGAGUGAAAAUUCACACAUGGAAAACAAAUGAGCAUCGGGAAGCACUCCUCAUAGCUAAUGGCUACUUGGUCUGGUGCCAGAAUUCAUACAGAUCCUUAAAAUCAAGUAAAUUAUGCCCGCAGUGAUAGCUCCCUUUUGCUGGAGUCCCACAACAAGCACCAAAUGGUGGAGCGGCACAGAACUGCCAAAUUCCAUUUUUCACCUCCCAGUUCCUUUCAGCUGAGCAGCAUCAUUCGCAGCAGAAGGGCCCAUGCAUUUUUUACAGCUCCCCUCCCAGCCUGCGUGUGCAGGGCCCGAUCCUGCCUAUGGCACAGGGCUCUGAGGGCAGCGCCUGCCGCGGGGUCAGCAUGUCAGUGAAUGGCAGCGGUGGUGGCAAUCUGACACACGUGUCUUCCCACGGAAGGGAGUGGAAAGAAUUGGGUCUUGAAAAGGAAAUAAUUGUAAAACAAAAGUGUUACUUCUCUCACUUUGUCCUUUUGAUAAGAUCGCUUGCUGAGCUCAGAGGUUAGGAGAUGUGCAGCUUGCCAUGCGCCAGAUUAACAACUGCUGAAUUCUGUGCUAGAAAACUCGGCUGAAUUACACAAAUAUCUGUUAAGACAAGGAUAAAUAUUUAUAAACAGUCUUCCUUGCAGAACAUGUCUCCAUCAUUCAUUUCCCCGUGAUGAAAUAUCUGGAACAAUGGAACUAAUGACUACAUUGUUCCAAAGUUACAUCGUAUAUCUAAUAAGGAAAAUACUAAAAUGAGCCAAAUUCUUUAUGAACACAACAGCGAAGCAAUUAAAAUAAAUGUGAUUUUCCAGAUC